UUCCAUUGCUACAGGCACUGGUAGAACCUUUCACUCUUGAGCAACGUUGAUCUGAAAAACAAUGUAUAUCCAAUUACAGAGCAUUGAAUUUGUUAACUAGCAUCUAGAAGUCAUUUUUCUACAGUAAUGUCUCAAGGCAGGAAACUACCUUCAAUAUAUGAUCAAUCUUGACACCAGGUGUCUCUAAUUUGGAUUGAAUUUGGAAACGUUGGCAAAGAGUAACCAGCACAAUGAUUGAAAGAAAAUGUUUUAUUAUUGCUACAUAUUUCAAAUAAUGCAAUACUGUAUAAUCACAAUUGGUAAGGGCAUAUAAUGAAAUA